rnacentral:misc_RNA from 1 species
UUUCCGCAGGUGAACCUGCGGAAGGAUCAUUCAUAAUAAAGUGUUUUAUGGCACUUUUUAAAAAUCCAUAUCCACCUUGUGUGCAAUGUUAGAUCUCGUCAAUCUUGGCGAGAUUUUUAUACAUCAACUCAUUCUUUAACUAAUUUGUCUGAAAAAUAUUAUGAAUACUUAAUUCAAAAUACAACUUUCAACAACGGAUCUCUUGGCUCUC